rnacentral:rRNA from 1 species
UACGUAGGGUGCGAGCGUUAAUCGGAAUUACUGGGCGUAAAGCGUGCGCAGGCGGUUCGUUGUGUCCGAUGUGAAAGCCCCGGGCUUAACCUGGGAAUGGCAUUGGAAACUGGCGAGCUUGAGUGCGGCAGAGGGGGGUGGAAUUCCACGUGUAGCAGUGAAAUGCGUAGAGAUGUGGAGGAACACCGAUGGCGAAGGCGGCUCACUGGUCCGGUACUGACGCUGAGGUGCGAAAGCGUGGGGAGCAAACAGG